rnacentral:lncRNA from 1 species
ACUCUAUGAUUCUAUGUGGUGUGUUGGAGAUCCGUCUAUCCAAUGAGUGGUGAUAGUGCCCACUUUUACAUUUCAAAGCUCAAGUGCCAAAUUAUCUAUAAAUAUGUUGUACGUAUUGAAAUGUAUGCAUGAAAGUGUAUAUGAUGACUUAGUAAAUAAAUUGUUAAACAUGCAUGAGUAAGUGAAAUAUGACAAUAAAGUUGAGACUAUCCUAAUU